rnacentral:rRNA from 1 species
CAACGUGUUUUGGGCUUAGUUGACUGUGGAGCACAUGAAAACUCCAUAGUUAAGUGUGCUCAGGUGGGAGUAGUACUAGGAUGGGUGACCUCCUGAGAAGUCUCCACCGGGGC